rnacentral:rRNA from 1 species
CAAUAGCGUAUAUUAAAGUUGUUGCAGUUAAAAAGCUCGUAGUUGGACCUUAGGCGAGGUGGCCUGGUCACCCUCUGGGUGUACUGGGAUCGCUGCGCCUCACCUUCGGGGAGCUAGUCGUGCUUCGGUGCGCUAGGGAACCGAGCCUUACCUUGAGGAAAUUAGAGUGUUUAAAGCAGGCUUAUGCUUGAAUACGUUUGCAUGGAAUAACAUGAUAGGACUUUGGUUCUAUUUUGUUGGUUUGAGGACCAAAGUAAUGAUUAAUAGGGACAGUUGGGGGCAUUAGUAUUCAAUAGUCAGAGGUGAAAUUCUUGGAUUUAUUGAAGACUAACUAAUGCGAAAGCAUUUGCCAAGGAUGUUUUCAUUAA